GUGUCAGCAGCCGCGGUAAUACAGAGGUGGCAAGCGUUGUUCGGAUUUACUGGGCGUAAAGGGUGCGUAGGCGGAGUCGUGUGUCGGGUGUGAAAGCCCACGGAUCAUCUGUGGAAUGGCACUCGAAACUGCGACUCUAGAGUGCAGGAGAGGAGGGCGGAAUUCUCGGUGUAGCGGUGAAAUGCGUUGAUAUCGAGAGGAACGCCGGUGGCGAAGGCGGCCCUCUGGACUGACACUGACGCUGAGGCACGAAAGCUGGGGGAGCAAACAGGAUUAGAAACCCCUGUAGUCC
rnacentral:rRNA from 1 species